AUUGAACGCUGGCGGCAUGCCUUACACAUGCAAGUCGAACGGUAACAGGUCUUCGGACGCUGACGAGUGGCGAACGGGUGAGUAAUACAUCGGCACGUGCCCAGUCGUGGGGGAUAACUACUCGAAAGAGUAGCUAAUACCGCAUACGAUCUGAGGAUGAAAGCGGGGGACCUUCGCGCCUCGCGCGAUUGGAGCGGACGAUGGCAGAUUAGGUAGUUGGUGGGAUAAAAGCUUACCAAGCCGAAGAUCGGUAGCUGGUCUGAGAGGACGCCCAGCCACACUGGGACUGAGAAACGGCCCAGACUCCUACGGGAGGCAGCAGUGGGGAAUUUUGGACAAUGGGCGAAAGCCUGAUCCAGCAAUGCCGCGUGCAGGAUGAAGGCCUUCGGGUUGUAAACUGCUUUUGUACGGAACGAAAAAGUCUCCUCUAAUACAGGAGGCCCAUGACGGUACCGUAAGAAUAAGCACCGGCUAACUACGUGCCAGCCGCCGCCGUAA
rnacentral:rRNA from 1 species